GAUGAACGCUAGCGGGAGGCUUAACACAUGCAAGUCGAGGGGCAGCACUGAUAGCAAUAUUAGGUGGCGACCGGCGGACGGGUGAGUAACGCGUAUGCAACCUACCCUUUACAGGGGGGAUAGCCCGGAGAAAUUUCGGACCUUAAUACCCCAUAGAUCAGUGAUUCUGCAUGGGAUUACUGGUAAAGCUUCGGCGGUAAAGGAUGGGCAUGCGUCCCAUUAGCUAGUUGGUAGGGUAACGGCCUACCAAGGCAACGAUGGGUACGGGGUCUUAAAGGAUGGACCCGCACACUGGCACUGAGACACGGGCCAGACUCCUACGGGAGGCAGCAGUGAGGAAUAUUGGUCAAUGGGGGGAACCCUGGAACCAGCCAUCCCGCGUGCAGGAAGACAGUUCUAUGGAUUGUAAACUGCUUUUCUUGGGGAAGAAUAAUGACGACGUGUCGGUCAGAUGACGGUACCCGAGGAAUAAGCAUCGGCUAACUCCGUGCCAGCAGCCGCGGUAAACGU
rnacentral:rRNA from 1 species